GACGAACGCUGGCGGCGUGCUUAACACAUGCAAGUCGAACGGAAAGGCCCUGCUUGGGUGGGGUGCUCGAGUGGCGAACGGGUGAGUAGCACGUGAGUAACCUGCCCUUGACUUUGGGAUAACUGCAGGUAACUGGGGCUAAUACCGGAUAGGAGCUCCUGCUGCAUGGUGGGGGUUGGAAAGUUUCGGCGGUUGGGGAUGGACUCGCGGCUUAUCAGCUUGUUGGUGGGGUAGUGGCUUACCAAGGCUUUGACGGGUAGCCGGCCUGAGAGGGUGACCGGCCACAUUGGGACUGAGAUACGGCCCAGACUCAUACGGGAGGCAGCAGUGGGGAAUAUUGCACAAUGGGCGGACGCCUGACGCAGCAACGCCGCGUGCGGGAUGACGGCCUUCGGGUUGUAAACCGAUUUCGCCUGUGACGAAGCGUGAGUGACGGUAAUGGGUAAAGAAGCACCGGCUAACUACGUG
rnacentral:rRNA from 1 species